AGAAUCUGCUGAAGGAGGAUUCGUCCAACGGAAGUAGAGGAAAGUGGCGGACGGGUGAGUAACGCGUGAGGAACCUGCCUUGAAGAGGGGGACAACAGUUGGAAACGACUGCUAAUACCGCAUGAUGCAUAAGGGUCGCAUGAUUCUUAUGCCAAAGAUUUAUCGCUUCAAGAUGGCCUCGCGUCUGAUUAGCCAGUUGGCGGGGUAACGGCCCACCAAGGCGACGAUCAGUAGCCGGACUGAGAGGUUGAACGGCCACAUUGGGACUGAGAUACGGCCCAGACUCCUACGGGAGGCAGCAGUGGGGAAUAUUGGGCAAUGGGCGCAAGCCUGACCCAGCAACGCCGCGUGAAGGAAGAAGGCUUUCGGGUUGUAAACUUCUUUUAAGAGGGAAGAGCAGAAGACGGUACCUCUAGAAUAAGCCACGGCUAACUACGUGCCAGCAGCCGCGGUAAUACGUAGGUGGCAAGCGUUGUCCGGAUUUACUGGGUGUAAAGGGCGUGCAGCCGGGUCUGCAAGUCAGAUGUGAAAUCCAUGGGCUCAACCCAUGAACUGCAUUUGAAACUGUAGAUCUUGAGUGUCGGAGGGGCAAUCGGAAUUCCUAGUGUAGCGGUGAAAUGCGUAGAUAUUAGGAGGAACACCAGUGGCGAAGGCGGAUUGCUGGACGAUAACUGACGGUGAGGCGCGAAAGUGUGGGGAGCAAACAGGAUUAGAUACCCUGGUAGUCCACACUGUAAACGAUGAAUACUAGGUGUGCGGGGACUGACCCCCUGCGUGCCGCAGUAAACACAAUAAGUAUUCCACCUGGGGAGUACGAUCGCAAGGUUGCAACUCAAAGGAAUUGACGGAAGGUGGAA
rnacentral:rRNA from 2 species